rnacentral:rRNA from 1 species
UACGUAGGGUGCGAGCGUUAAUCGGAAUUACUGGGCGUAAAGUGUGCGCAGGCGGCCGCGCAAGUCGAGUGUGAAAGCCCCGGGCUUAACUUGGGAAUUGCGCUCGAAACUACGUGGCUGGAGUGUGGCAGAGGAAGGUGGAAUUCCACGUGUAGCGGUGAAAUGCGUAGAGAUGUGGAGGAACACCGAUGGCGAAGGCAGCCCCCUGGGUCAAUACUGACGCUCAUGCACGAAAGCGUGGGGAGCAAACAGG